AGGAUGAACGCUAGCGGCAGGCUAAUACAUGCAAGUCGUGGGGCGAGACAUGAGUAGCAAUACUUGAUGGCGACCGGCGAAACGGGUGGGGAACACGUACACAACCUUCCUUCGAAGCGGGGAAUAGCCCAGAGAAAUUUGGAUUAAUACCCCAUAAUAUAUUUGAUAAGGCAUCUUAUUAAUAUUAAAGCUUCGGCACUUGAUGAUGGGGUGUGCGGCUGAUUAGAUAGUUGGCGGGGUAACGGCCCACCAAGUCUACGAUCAGUAGCUGAUGUGAGGGCAUGAUCAGCCACACGGGCACUGAGACACGGGCCCGACUCCUACGGGAGGCAGCAGUAAGGAAUAUUGGACAAUGGACGAAAGUCUGAUCCAGCCAUGCCGCGUGAAGGAUUAAGGUCCUCUGGAUUGUAAACUUCUUUUAUAUGGGACGAAAAAAGGGCAUUCUUGUUCACUUGACGGUACCAUAUGAAUAAGCACCGGCUAACUCCGUG
rnacentral:rRNA from 1 species